CUGAGAAAACGUAUCCUAUAAAUGCUUAUGAAAUUCCUCUGCAAAUAUGCUGAGUGAACUGGCAACUUUUUGUUUUGUGUGUUUUCCUGAAAAGCCUGUAUCUAGUGCGUGAUGUCUCAUUUUUUAAUGCCGAUUUUUAUUUUUUGGAGGGGGUGUUCAUAAAUCAGAUGCUAAACCAUAGAUUGUACAAUAUAAACAUUGGGAUUGUAGCUACAUCAUGUCCAUGCACAGACUACGGGAGCUGGACAUCUACACAGUGAUUCGACCGGCCCGGAUCAAACUUUAAAAAGGCAGAAGAGACUUCUGAUCUCAGACUGACUCAGACAUGGAGGAAGAGGAGUCAGGACCUCACAGUGGUACCACCGUGACAGCAGCACAACCCGACGGCGCUGUCUCCCUGUGAAUACGACGGGUGCUGUUUCCCUGUGAAUACGACGGGCGCUGUUUCCCUGUGAAUACGACGGGUGCUGUCUCCCUGUGAAUACGACGGGUGCUGUUUCCCUGUGAAUACGACGGGUGCUGUCUCCCUGUGAAUACGACGGGUGCUGUCUCCCUGUGAAUACGACGGGUGCUGUCUCCCUGUGAAUACGACGGGUGCUGUUUCCCUGUGAAUACGACGGGUGCUGUUUCCCUGUGAAUACGACGGGUGCUGUUUCCCUGUGAAUACGACGGGUGCUGUUUCCCUGUGAAUACGACGGGCGCUGUUUCCCUGUGAAUACGACGGGUGCUGUUUCCCUGUGAAUACGACGGGUGCUGUUUCCCUGUGAAUACGACGGGUGCUGUUUCCCUGUGAAUACGACGGGUGCUGUUUCCCUGUGAAUACGACGGGUGCUGUUUCCCUGUGAAUACUGUGCAGGAUGUGGAGGCGAUGGAGCAAAAGUUACUCGACACAGCUUUCCUGAAUGGAGUGGUAGCUGCUAUGAAUGGGAUGUUUAUCAAAAUAUUUAUUGUAGUAUUUUGUUUAUUUAGUCCAUUGUUAAUAUAAUCCCAACAAUCGUGCAUGUUAGCAAAUCAAGUUUUCAAGAUGGAGCACUUUCAGUACAGAGCAAACAGUGAUGAUGACACAAAUGAGAAACAUUAUUAUAAUUAUUAUCAUAUCAUUAGCAUCAUCCCUCUCAUUGGCUCUAUACUGCAGUGUUUCCUGGUCCAGGGGAUCAAAAGGACCUUUGAAUUGAAUAAGGUAUGUGAGUGCUGAGGCAAAAAAACAACAGUGUGCAUCCCUUGGGACCAGGAUUGGGGAACACCGCUGUACUGAAAGUCCAUCUUGAGAACUUCACUGCUGAACAUUUUGGGGGAUUUUAUACAGGGUGAGGAAACUAAGGUGUACGUUUUUUGUAAUUUGAUUGAACUAUCCCUUGAUCUGAAAAAAUGUGGUAUAAAUAAACCUGCUCAGAUCAGGGCUACUGUUUAUGAGAUGAUGAUGAUGAUGAUGAUGAUGAUAGGACCAGAUACUACUUGACACGUGUAAAAGGUCUCCCCUCACCUGGUUGUCUAGGUCUCUCCUCACCUGGUUGUCUAGGUCUCAGUAAGGAACUCCCCUCACCUGGUUGUCCAGGUCUCAGUAAGGAACUCUCCUCACCUGGUUGUCUAGGUCUCUCCUCACCUGGUUGUCUAGGUCUCAGUAAGGAACUCUCCUCACCUGGUUGUCUAGGUCUCAGUAAGGAACUCCCCUCACCUGGUUGUCUAGGUCUCAGUAAGGACCUCUCCUCACCUGGUUGUCUAGGUCUCAGUAAGGAACUCCCCUCACCUGGUCGUCCAGGUCUCAGUAAGGAACUCCCCUCACCUGGUUGUCUAGGUCUCAGUAAGGACCUCUCCUCACCUGGUUGUCUAGGUCUCAGUAAGGAACUCUCCUCACCUGGUUGUCUAGGUCUCAGUAAGGAACUCCCCUCACCUGGUUGUCUAGGUCUCAGUAAGGAACUCUCCUCACCUGGUUGUCUAGGUCUCAGUAAGGAACUCUCCUCACCUGGUUGUCUAGGUCUCAGUAAGGAACUCUCCUCACCUGGUUGUCUAGGUCUCAGUAAGGAACUCUCCUCACCUGGUUGUCUAGGUCUCAGUAAGGACCUCUCCUCACCUGGUUGUCUAGGUCUCUCCUCACCUGGUCGUCUAGGUCUCAGUAUGGAACUCUCCUCACCUGGUUGUCUAGGGCUCAGUAAGGAACUCUCCUCACCUGGUUGUCCAGGUCUCAGUAAGGAACUCCCCUCACCUGGUUGUCUAGGUGUCAGUAAGGAACUCUCCUCACCUGGUUGUCUAGGUCUCCCCUCACCUGGUUGUCUAGGUCUCAGUAAGGAACUCUCCUCACCUGGUUGUCCAGGUCUCAGUAAGGAACUCUCCUCACCUGGUUGUCUAGGUCUCAGUAAGGAACUCCCCUCACCUGGUUGUCUAGGUCUCAGUAAGGAACUCCCCUCACCUGGUUGUCUAGGUCUCAGUAAGGAACUCUCCUCACCUGGUUGUCUAGGUCUCAGUAAGGAACUCCCCUCACCUGGUUGUCUAGGUCUCAGUAAGGAACUCUCCUCACCUGGUUGUCUAGGUCUCAGUAAGGAACGCCCCUCACCUGGUUGUCUAGGUCUCAGUAAGGAACUCUCCUCACCUGGUUGUCUAGGUCUCAGUAAGGAACUCCCCUCACCUGGUUGUCUAGGUCUCAGUAAGGAACUCCCCUCACCUGGUUGUCUAGGUCUCAGUAAGGAACUCCCCUCACCUGGUUGUCUAGGUCUCAGUAAGGAACUCUCCUCACCUGGUCGUCUAGGUCUCAGUAAGGAACUCUCCUCACCUGGUCGUCUAGGUCUCAGUAAGGAACUCUCCUCACCUGGUUGUCUAGGUCUCAGUAAGGAACUCCCCUCACCUGGUUGUCUAGGUCUCAGUAAGGAACUCUCCUCACCUGGUUGUCUAGGUCUCAGUAAGGAACUCCCCUCACCUGGUUGUCUAGGUCUCAGUAAGGACCUCCCCUCACCUGGUUGUCUAGGUCUCAGUAAGGAACUCUCCUCACCUGGUUGUCUAGGUCUCCCCUCACCUGGUUGUCUAGGUCUCAGUAAGGAACUCUCCUCACCUGGUUGUCUAGGUCUCAGUAAGGAACUCUCCUCACCUGGUUGUCUAGGUCUCAGUAAGGAACUCUCCUCACCUGGUUGUCUAGGUCUCAGUAAGGACCUCCCCUCACCUGGUUGUCUAGGUCUCAGUAAGGAACUCUCCUCACCUGGUUGUCUAGGUCUCCCCUCACCUGGUUGUCUAGGUCUCAGUAAGGAACUCUCCUCACCUGGUUGUCUAGGUCUCAGUAAGGAACUCUCCUCACCUGGUUGUCUAGGUCUCAGUAAGGAACUCCCCUCACCUGGUUGUCUAGGUCUCCCCUCACCUGGUUGUCCAGGUCUCAGUAAGGAACUCCCCUCACCUGGUUGUCUAGGUCUCAGUAAGGAACUCCCCUCACCUGGUUGUCCAGGUCUCAGUAAGGAACUCCCCUCACCUGGUUGUCUAGGUCUCCCCUCACCUGUUUGUCUAGGUCUCCCCUCACCUGGUUCUCUAGGUCUCAGUAAGGAACUCCGGUCACCUGGUUGUCUAGGUCUCAGUAAGGAACUCUCCUCACCUGGUUAUCUAGGUGUCAGUAAGGAACUCCCCUCACCUGGUUGUCUAGGUCUCUCCUCACCUGGUUGUCUAGGUCUCAGUAAGGAACUCCCCUCACCUGGUUGUCUAGGUCUCAGUAAGGACCACCCCUCACCUGGUUGUCUAGGUCUCAGUAAGGAACACCCCUCACCUGGUUGUCUAGGUCUCAGUAAGGAACUCCCCUCACCUGGUUGUCUAGGUCUCAGUAAGGAACUCCCCUCACCUGGUUGUCUAGGUCUCAGUAAGGAACUCCCCUCACCUGGUUGUCUAGGUCUCAGUAAGGAACUCCCCUCACCUGGUUGUCUAGGUCUCAGUAAGGAACUCUCCUCACCUGGUUGUCUAGGUCUCAGUAAGGAACUCCCCUCACCUGGUUGUCUAGGUCUCAGUAAGGAACUCUCCUCACCUGGUUGUCUAGGUCUCAGUAAGGAACCCCCCUCACCUGGUUGUCUAGGUCUCAGUAAGGAACUCUCCUCACCUGGUUGUCUAGGUCUCAGUAAGGAACUCCCCUCACCUGGUUGUCUAGGUCUCAGUAAGGAACUCCCCUCACCUGGUUGUCUAGGUCUCUCCUCACCUGGUUGUCUAGGUCUCAGUAAGGAACUCUCCUCACCUGGUUGUCUAGGUCUCAGUAAGGAACUCCCCUCACCUGGUUGUCUAGGUCUCAGUAAGGAACUCCCCUCACCUGGUUGUCUAGGUCUCUCCUCACCUGGUUGUCUAGGUCUCAGUAAGGAACUCUCCUCACCUGGUUGUCUAGGUCUCAGUAAGGAACUCUCCUCACCUGGUUGUCUAGGUCUCAGUAAGGAACUCCCCUCACCUGGUUGUCUAGGUCUCCCCUCACCUGGUUGUCUAGGUCUCAGUAAGGAACUCUCCUCACCUGGUUGUCUAGGUCCCAGUGAGGAACUCUCCUCACCUGGUUGUCUAGGUCUCAGUAAGGAACUCUCCUCACCUGGUUGUCUAGGUCUCCCCUCACCUGGUUGUCUAGGUCUCAGUAAGGAACUCUCCUCACCUGGUUGUCCAGGUCUCAGUAAGGAACUCAGUAAGAGGGGGGGGGGGGCAGUGCCCCUGUGACAACAACUUUGGACCCCCUUGUGGCCCCCCCUAAAUGUGAAGUAUGAAAUAAUUUUUACAUAACACAUUUUUUGCUAUCGUUCUUUUUUUUUUACAUCCGUUAUUAGACAGUGGCAACGCGGAACACUAAUUUAACACAGACAUCUUCUAGAGGGACGGAUUUAGGAUGGAACACAGCAGUAUCGUACCACAUGCAAAACGAUAUGACAACAAUAACGUCUAAUGUAACUGGCCCCCCCUCUAACAGUACAACUGGCCCCUCUAACAGUACAACUGGCCCCUCCCUCUAACAGUACAACUGGCCCCAGCUUGGCCCCCCCUCUAACAGUACAACUGGCCCCAGCUUGGCCCCCCCUCUAACAGUACAGCUGGCCCCCCCCUCUAACAGUACAACUGGCCCCUCUAACAGUACAACUGGCCCCAGCUUGGCCCCCCCUCUAACAGUACAACUGGCCCCUCUAACAGUACAGCUGGCCCCUCCCUCUAACAGUACAACUGGCCCCCUCUAACAGUACAGCUGGCCCCUCCCUCUAACAGUACAACUGGCCCCUCUAACAGUACAACUGGCCCCAGCUUGGCCCCCCCUCUAACAGUACAACUGGCCCCAGCUUGGCCCCCCCUCUAACAGUACAACUGGCCCCCUCUAACAGUACAACUGGCCCCUCUAACAGUACAACUGGCCCCCUCUAACAGUACAACUGGCCCCAGCUUGGCCCCCCCUCUAACAGUACAACUGGCCCCUCUAACAGUACAACUGGCCCCAGCUUGGCCCCCUCCCUAGUUGAAAUGGUCUAGAACGGCCACUGAGUAGACCCUCCAUGGAAUGAGUUUGACACCCUUGCUGUAUGGUAACUAAUUGUCACACAAGCUAAUAAAUAUAAUAAACCUAAUAAUAAUAAUAAUAAUAAUAAUAAAAACCUAAUAAAUGUUUUAUAAUAACCAUCAUCUGUGAGACUAGCUGGGACGUUCUGUAUAAUACCACUUCAAUAUUAUCAAGUCGCUAUCGUCGUCCAUGUACCUUCUGCUGUUUCAUUGAUACUUUGUUGUCUGAUCAAUUCAAUCCGUCAUGUACAUGUAAUUACCAGAAUAAAGGAAACAUCCAAAAAUAAA
rnacentral:lncRNA from 1 species